AAAUUGAAGAGUUUGAUCAUGGCUCAGAUUGAACGCUGGCGGCAGGCCUAACACAUGCAAGUCGAACGGUAACAGGAAGCAGCUUGCUGCUUYGCUGACGAGUGGCGGACGGGUGAGUAAUGUCUGGGAAACUGCCCGACCGA
rnacentral:rRNA from 1 species